AGUGAACGCUGGCGGUAGGCCUAACACAUGCAAGUCGAACGGCAGCACAGUAAGAGCUUGCUCUUACGGGUGGCGAGUGGCGGACGGGUGAGGAAUACAUCGGAAUCUACUUUUUCGUGGGGGAUAACGUAGGGAAACUUACGCUAAUACCGCAUACGACCUACGGGUGAAAGCAGGGGAUCUUCGGACCUUGCGCGAUUGAAUGAGCCGAUGUCGGAUUAGCUAGUUGGCGGGUUAAAGGCCCACCAAGGCGACGAUCCGUAGCUGGUCUGAGAGGAUGAUCAGCCACACUGGAACUGAGACACGGUCAAGACUCCUACGGGAGGCAGCAGUGGGGAAUAGUGGACAAUGGGCGCAAGCCUGAUCCAGCCAUACCGCGUGGGUGAAGAAGGCCUUCGGGUUGUAAAGCCCUUUUGUUGGGAAAGAAAAGCAGCAGGUUAAUACCCCGCUGUUCUGACGGUACCCAAAGAAUAAGCACCGGCUAACUUCGUG
rnacentral:rRNA from 1 species